rnacentral:rRNA from 1 species
UACGGAGGGGGCUAGCGUUGUUCGGAAUUACUGGGCGUAAAGCGCGCGUAGGCGGACCUGCAAGUCGGGGGUGAAAGCCCGAGGCUCAACCUCGGAACUGCCUUCGAUACUGCGGGUCUCGAGUCCGGGAGAGGUGAGUGGAAUUCCCAGUGUAGCGGUGAAAUGCGUAGAUAUUGGGAGGAACACCAGUGGCGAAGGCGGCUCACUGGACCGGUUCUGACGCUGAUGCGCGAAAGCGUGGGGAGCAAACGGG